UUAAAGAUUCGUUUUAUUUUUCUUAUAUAAUUUUUGAAAUUUAUUCCAGAAUAACCGCUUCAUUUUCAUAAAUUAUAUUAAUACUUUAAUUUGAGCUGUGUGUUCUGUGUGUAAUUGUUUUCCUUUAAGAUAUAUUUUCGUAUUUCCUUUGCAAUAUCCUUGAGAAUAAGAGGAAAUUCUGGAAGAUUAAAAGAUUGUUGACGGUAACAGCAAAGAAAACAACGUGAAACCACCUACGAUGCGUGACGUCACGGGGAUUAAGAGUGAAAGCAUAAAUACCGAACGAUAGAGAAAUUGGGCGUAUUUGGCCGAAGAGGUUGUUGCUGUUAACAGAGAAACGAAAAUGAAGAUGAUUGCUUUAUAUGUAACUUUAUUUAUAUUUGUAAGUAUCGAGGCUUAUAAUGAAGAGAAGCCCAUCUAUAAAUGGAGUCCAAUUGUUUUUCGAAAUUUAAAAAAAGAUGACUACCAAUAUAGGUGUGCACCAGAGAAAGCUCUGUGUAUGUUCUCCUGGUCGAAGUAUGGCAUGUACAUGAAACAACCGUGUUGUCAUGGUCUGGUCUGUGAACGAAUUGGAAUCUAUAACAUGUGUCUCAGGCCCGUUUGGGAGCAAAAUGAAGUCAACUCUCUGUAUUAAAUAUCUCUGCAAUAUGAACAUUCUUCUUCAUCGGUGUCAAAACUGGACAUUGUUACACGACAUUCCGUGAAAUGUCUUCUGUGUAAAUUUUAACCAUUUAAAACUAAUCCAAAUAUAUGUCCAUAAAUAUAAAUACUGUACUUAUUAUCAUGUAGUAUCAUUCACAUAAAUGUUACAUUUUAAUAAUGUAUAUUUAAUUUUCAAUAAAUUGUUGUUGGUUCAAUUUA